GAUGAACGCUGGCGGCGUGCUUAACACAUGCAAGUCGAACGGAAAGGCCCAAGCUUGCUUGGGUCCUCGAGUGGCGAACGGGUGAGUAACACGUGGGUGAUCUGCCCUGCACUUCGGGAUAAGCCUGGGAAACUGGGUCUAAUACCGGAUAGGACGAUGGUUUGGAUGCCAUUGUGGAAAGUUUUUUCGGUGUGGGAUGAGCUCGCGGCCUAUCAGCUUGUUGGUGGGGUAAUGGCCUACCAAGGCGUCGACGGGUAGCCGGCCUGAGAGGGUGUACGGCCACAUUGGGAAUGAGAUACGGCCCAGACUCCUACGGGAGGCAGCAGGGGGGAAUAUUGCACAAUGGGCGCAAGCCUGAUGCAGCGACGCCGAGUGGGGGAUGACGGCCUUAGGGUUGUAAACUCCUUUCGCUAGGGACGAAGCGUUUUUGUGACGGUACCUGGAGAAGAAGCACCGGCUAACUACGUG
rnacentral:rRNA from 1 species